CUUACUCUGUAAGCUUUUCUCUUCUUUUUUUUUUAAUAACAGUGAACGCUUUUCUCUGUAUCUCAUCUAACAGAUUCAUUUUUUCUUCUUCUUCUUCUUCUCUCUGCACCAUCCAUGGCGUAAGGUCCACCAUCUCUCCUAUUUCAACCGUCUCUCACCACCACAAGUCACCUGCAAUCACGUUCGUGACUUCGCCGAACCGGGGCGUCCAAGGCCAGCCAAGCUCCGUCAAGAGAAUCCUCAACCUCUGUAUCUCGCUUUUGAGAGUCGCCGCUCAAAGUCCAAGGAAGAACACGCCCUCUACAGCGCCGGCCCAUGAGAAGAAUCAGCGCCGUCGGAGACAAACCCUAGAACCCCAUCGUCCUCCGAACGGAGGUUGAGUGGAUUCUAAGAAGCAAGGAGGUGGGGGAGACAUAAACACAGUGGAGAAAAAACAAGAAAAAAGGAGAAGAUGAAGAAGCUUGGAGGCCUCCACGACCUUUGCUAUCCGUGGUUCGACGGCGGCGUUAAGAAAAGAGGAGGCCUGGUUUUCUUACUAGGUUUAGUUUUGGUUUAGUUUUGGUUUAGUUUUAGUUUAGUUUUGGUUUAGUUUUGGUUUAGUUUUAGUUUAGUUUUGGUUUAGUUUUGGUUAGGUUUUGGUUUAUACUUUUAAUUUGUAAAUCAUAUUCUUUUUUUACAUUAAUAAAAAAUUAAAUAUAUAAACGAGUUUAAAUUUUAAUUAUGUUUCUAAUAUUUAAUUAAUUUUUAUU